rfam:Medicago truncatula strain A17 chromosome 6, whole genome shotgun sequence.
AGAGAGUAAUGCAGCCAAGGAUGACUUGCCGACAACAUUGGCGAAUGUUCAUGUGAUUUCUGCCUCAUUGUGCCGGCAAGUUGUCCUUGGCUAUGUUAGUCUCUCA